rnacentral:rRNA from 1 species
UACGAAGGGGGCUAGCGUUGCUCGGAAUCACUGGGCGUAAAGGGUGCGUAGGUGGGUCUUUAAGUCAGGGGUGAAAUCCUGGAGCUCAACUCCAGAACUGCCUUUGAUACUGAAGAUCUUGAGUUCGGGAGAGGUGAGUGGAACUGCGAGUGUAGAGGUGAAAUUCGUAGAUAUUCGCAAGAACACCAGUGGCGAAGGCGGCUCACUGGCCCGAUACUGACGCUGAGGUGCGAAAGCGUGGGGAGCAAACAGG